GAUUAACGCUGGCGGCAUGCCUAAUACAUGCAAGUCGAGCGGAAGCAGCAAUGCUUUAGUGGCGAACGGGUGAGUAACACGUAGGGAACCUACCUAUACGACGAGGAUAACUACUGGAAACGGUAGCUAAAACUGGAUAGGAUCAAUUGAGGCAUCUUGAUUGAUUUAAAGAUCCUUCGGGAUUACGUAGAGAUGGCCCUGCGGCGCAUUAGCUAGUUGGUGAGGUAACGGCCCACCAAGGCGACGAUGCGUAGCUGAGCUGAGAGGCUAAACAGCCACACUGGGACUGAGACACGGCCCAGACUCCUACGGGAGGCAGCAGUAGGGAAUUUUCGGCAAUGGGGGAAACCCUGACCGAGCAAUGCCGCGUGAACGAUGAAGGUCUUCGGAUUGUAAAGUUCUGUGAUUGGGGAAGAAUGGUAUUCUUAGGGAAUGAGGAGUACAUGACGGUACCCGAUUAGAAAGCCCCGGCUAACUAUGUGCCAGCAGCCGCGGUAAA
rnacentral:rRNA from 1 species